rnacentral:rRNA from 1 species
GUAAGGAAUAUUGGACAAUGGGGGCAACCCUGAUCCAGCCAUGCCGCGUGAAGGAUUAAGGCCCUAUGGGUUGUAAACUUCUUUUAUAAGGGAAAAAACCUCUUUACGUGUAGAGAGUUGAUGGUACUUUAUGAAUAAGGGUCGGCUAACUUCGUGCCAGCAGCCGCGGUAAUACGAAGGACCCAAGCGUUAUCCGGAUUUACUGGGUUUAAAGGGUGCGUAGGUGGACUUGUAAGUCAGUGGUGAAAUCCCCAAGCUCAACUUGGGAACUGCCAUUGAUACUGCUAGUCUUGAGUAUAGUUGAGGUAGGCGGAAUAUGUCAUGUAGUGGUGAAAUACUUAGAUAUGACAUAGAACACCGAUUGCGAAGGCAGCUUGCUAAGCUAUAACUGACACUGAUGCACGAAAGCGUGGGGAGCAAACAGGAUUAGAUACCCCAGUAGUCC